UACGAAGGGGGGCUAGCGUUGUUCGGAAUCACUGGGCGUAAAGCGCACGUAGGCGGAUCUUUAAGUCAGGGGUGAAAUCCCGAGGCUCAACCUCGGAACUGCCUUUGAUACUGGGGAUCUCGAGUCCGGGAGAGGUGAGUGGAACUGCGAGUGUAGAGGUGAAAUUCGUAGAUAUUCGCAAGAACACCGGUGGCGAAGGCGGGUCUCUGGGCCGAUACUGACGCUGAGGAGCGAAAGCGUGGGGAGCAAACAGG
rnacentral:rRNA from 1 species